rnacentral:lncRNA from 1 species
GCGGUGUUCUUGAGAAGACUAGGCUGUGGCAGCGCAUCGGUUGGGAAGGACUUUGGCCAACUUUCAUGUGGAUUACCAUUGGAGGACUUCUACCUUGAGAUCUUAUGGAGAACACCAACAUGUCACUUUUUUAUAUUGGUUAAAGUAUAAUUUUCUAUCUCUUUGCAUACUUGAUUUGCUUUGAUCAUGAUCGGCAAAGUGAUUCUAGGAUUUUGGGUUUGGCUUGAUAGUUUUAUUUGAAAAGGCUAUUAAUUUUUUAUUUUAAAAUUUUUAAAAAUUAUUUUUUACUAUGUGGUCGGAACCCA